GAACGGGUGAGUAACACGUGGGUGAUCUGCCCUGCACUUUGGGAUAAGCCUGGGAAACUGGGUCUAAUACCGAAUAUGACCACGCUCUUCAUGGGGUGUGGUGGAAAGCUUUUGCGGUGUGGGAUGGGCCCGCGGCCUAUCAGCUUGUUGGUGGGGUAAUGGCCUACCAAGGCGACGACGGGUAGCCGGCCUGAGAGGGUGACCGGCCACACUGGGACUGAGAUACGGCCCAGACUCCUACGGGAGGCAGCAGUGGGGAAUAUUGCACAAUGGGCGCAAGCCUGAUGCAGCGACGCCGCGUGAGGGAUGACGGCCUUCGGGUUGUAAACCUCUUUCACCAGGGACGAAGCGCAAGUGACGGUACCUGGAGAAGAAGCACCGGCCAACUACGUGCCAGCAGCCGCGGUAAUACGUAGGGUGCGAGCGUUGUCCGGAAUUACUGGGCGUAAAGAGCUCGUAGGUGGUUUGUCGCGUUGUUCGUGAAAACUCACAGCUUAACUGUGGGCGUGCGGGCGAUAC
rnacentral:rRNA from 1 species